AGGCUCUUUUGGCAAGCCCUCCAUUCCUCCAACACUUGCGGACUGAAUUCAGCUCCCUCAGGCAGGAUAUCUGAAGAGCUUCUGGAAGUUGGAGAAGUUAACAACUCAAGAGAACUUGAUAGUUCCAGCAACAAUGAAUGAAAGCACACACAGCAUCGUUAUCUCUGACUUUUCUCCUAGCGAUGGCAAUUUUGUAUUUAUUUUCCUAAGGAAUCAUUUCCUUUCCUUGUAAACAUCUUAUCCUGAGAUGUU